GACAGAGGGUGCAAACGUUGCUCGGAAUCACUGGGCGUAAAGGGCGUGUAGGCGGGAAGGAAAGUCAGAUGUGAAAUCCCUGGGCUCAACCCAGGAACUGCAUUUGAAACUCCCUUUCUUGAGUGUCGGAGAGGAAAGCGGAAUUCCUGGUGUAGAGGUGAAAUUCGUAGAUAUCAGGAGGAACACCGAUGGCGAAGGCAGGUCUCUGGGCCGAUACUGACGCUGAGGAGCGAAAGCGUGGGGAGCGAACAGG
rnacentral:rRNA from 1 species